UCCGGUUUGGCACCGGCAGUCCCUCCAGAGUCCCCGGCAUUACCCGCUGGUAACUGGAGGCGAGGGUUGCGCUCGUUGCGGGACUUAACCCAACAUCUCACGACACGAGCUGACGACAGCCAUGCAGCAUCUGUGUUCCAGUUCCCUUUCGGGCACAGCCACCUUUCAGUAGCCUUCCGGACAUGUCAAGGGUAGGUAAGGUUGUUCGCGUUGCAUCGAAUUAAUCCACAUCAUCCACCGCUUGUGCGGGUCCCCGUCAAUUCCUUUGAGUUUUAAUCUUGCGACCGUACUCCCCAGGCGGUCAACUUCACGCGUUAGCUGCGGUACCAAGAGAUUGCUCCCCCAACACCUAGUUGACAUCGUUUAGGGCGUGGACUAC
rnacentral:misc_RNA from 1 species